GAUGAACGCUGGCGGCGUGCCUAAUACAUGCAAGUCGAGCGAACAGACGAGGAGCUUGCUCCUCUGACGUUAGCGGCGGACGGGUGAGUAACACGUGGAUAACCUACCUAUAAGACUGGGAUAACUUCGGGAAACCGGAGCUAAUACCGGAUAAUAUAUUGAACCGCAUGGUUCAAUAGUGAAAGACGGUUUUGCUGUCACUUAUAGAUGGAUCCGCGCCGCAUUAGCUAGUUGGUAAGGUAACGGCUUACCAAGGCAACGAUGCGUAGCCGACCUGAGAGGGUGAUCGGCCACACUGGAACUGGGACACGGUCCAGACUCCUACGGGAGGCAGCAGUAGGGAAUCUUCCGCAAUGGGCGAAAGCCUGACGGAGCAACGCCGCGUGAGUGAUGAAGGUCUUCGGAUCGUAAAACUCUGUUAUUAGGGAAGAACAAAUGUGUAAGUAACUAUGCACGUCUUGACGGUACCUAAUCAGAAAGCCACGGCUAACUGCGUG
rnacentral:rRNA from 1 species